ACACAGACGCAGGAUUGUUGAGGUUGAAGCUGGUGACAACCUCAGGAUGGAUGAGCCCCAGGCAACCCACAGGAGACCCAUUCACUACCACCGUCGCACUGAAGCCAGGGAAGAAACUUGGGUCUGCAACAACAAGAUUGUACUGUACCAGCAAUAUCACAGGAGGUGUGUGUCAAGGUAGUCCUUUCGUAUUCUCAAGAGUUUUCUUAUGUGGGUUAACAAGCCUUUUCCAGUCUCCUUAUUCUCUUAUGUUUCUUGUUCUAAUAUAUAGUUUGAAAAUUCAUCAUCUAAAUGUAAAAAUGGACAAAGAUACAUCUACAACACAAUGUGGUAACUAUAGUGGAAUUAGUCUGUUUAUUGUAAAUGCCACGGUAUUCAGGAAAACUGUCAAAAAGAUCACAGACAAAAAUACAACUUCAAACUUAACACUGACAGGCAAAUUUCAAAAAAAUAUAAAGUAACAAAACUGAAAAAUGUACAAGAUUAAAUAUUAGAUAAAAAAAUAAUAAAACAAACAUUUUCUCCAUGAAAACAAUAGACACUCACAGUCUUUCCCCUCUAAGUAGUAUCCCUUGGAUGAGCCGUCCUCUGUGAAGGGCACCUUGAGGGCCACCAUGAUGUUGUCCAGCAGACCCUGAACCACCUCCAUACCGGCCUUCACAUUAUAGUUGAUGGCACAUAGGUGGCGCUUGUUGCGAGCCCCCGUACCCCGCGUGGCCACAGGGCAGCUGUCCUUCACCACCACAUCAGCAACCUGGGAUAACCAUGCCUUAAUAUAAUUUCAGUUCAGAGGGGAAAGUAAGGAUGCUGCAGAUUUAUAUUUACUAAUACAUCAGCAUCUAAGCAUAUCAAAUUCAAAGCAAAGUGUGGGUACAUAUACUAAUGCUACAAAUAUACACUGUCACUAUAUGUCAGCAACCAGUGACAACCAGUUCAAUAAGGAAAGUGAGUGCUUUAGUGUAUGUACAUAAUGAUGCUACAAGUCUACAGUCACCAACACAUCAGCACACUGUGACAACUAUUCCUCAGUGGGCACAUACACUGAUGCUACAAAUCUACAUCAUUACCAACACAUGAGGAUCUUGUAUAUCAGUGUUACCUCAAACAUGCGGAGGGGCAGCGAAACGUGCUUGUUGGCAGCCACAGUCUUGAGGAUCCCUGGCAGGAGGCUGAUGCGCAGCGCCUCAAAAUCCAUUGUCUUGGGGUUACCAAUCUUCACCAAUGGCUCCUUGUCCAGAUUGAUUUUCAUCUUCUCUCCCAUAUCCGACUGGAAACACAUGCAUGGAAACAGAGUAAUUUACUCAUGUAAGGUUUUUUCUAUCAGAAGUGGUUACUAAUAACAAUAACCACAAACUUAACAUGUACAAUCAGCUGGAUAGAAAGGAAGGCUGCCAUAUAGUAGGUAAAGCUAAAUAAAAUAAAUUGUAUCA